GAAUUAGAAUAAUUAGGUCUUGUGUGCUAUUAGGAGCAAGGAUGCAUGCCUUCGUGCUUUUAAGCCAUUUUUAAUGAUACAGCUUCCGAAUCGACAAUCGGUUCCAUUAAAAUUGAUCUAGCAUAUUUGAAAUAUCUAAAAAAUAAAUUUUGCGGUUUUUCGAUAUCAUUAUCUAGCGAUCGAAAGGUUUAAAAUCAAUAAUUUUUAAUGGUUGAUAUAUAUCAUUUGUAAGUUUAAUGGUGUAAAAAUAUUCAAAUUAGAUGAAAUUUUAAUAAAAUUUUUUUAUACUAUUUACUGUAAAAUCAAUAUUUUGAUCGAAAAUUUUAAUGUUAUAUCACCAGUUUUUGUGAGAUUUUUAUUUUCAACUGUUGAUUUUCAACACUUUCGAUCGAAAAAUCGCAAAAUUUAUUUUCUAAAUACUUCAAAUAUCUAGAUCAAGUUUAACAGAACCGAUCGUCGAUUCGGAAGCUCCAUCGUCGAAAACGGCUUUUAGGAGCAUGGAGGCCUCCAUGUUCCUAAUAGCACACAAGACCUACUCCAUAUAUUUUGUUUAAAAGUGAUUAUCCAUAUAUUUUGUUUAAAAGUGAUUAUGGAGGUAAACCUA
rnacentral:lncRNA from 1 species